rnacentral:rRNA from 1 species
CUGGCUCAGGACGAACGCUGGCGGCGUGCUUAACACAUGCAAGUCGAGCGGUAAGGCCCUUCGGGGUACACGAGCGGCGAACGGGUGAGUAACACGUGAGCAACCUGCCCCUGACUCCGGGAUAAGCGGUGGAAACGCCGUCUAAUACCGGAUACGACCCGCCACCUCAUGGUGGAGGGUGGAAAGUUUUAUCGGUCAGGGAUGGGCUCGCGGCCUAUCAGCUUGUUGGUGGGGUAAAGGCCUACCAAGGCGAUUACGGGUAGCCGGCCUGAGAGGGCGACCGGCCACACUGGGACUGAGACACGGCCCAGACUCCUGCGGGAGGCAGCAGUGGGGAAUAUUGCACAAUGGGCGAAAGCCUGAUGCAGCGACGCCGCGUGGGGGAUGAAGGCCUUCGGGUUGUAAACCUCUUUUACCACCAACGCAGGCUCCACGUUCUCGUGGGGUUGACGGUAGGUGGGGAAUAAGGACCGGCUAACUACGUGCCAGCAGCCGCGGUAAUACGUAGGGUCCGAGCGUUGUCCGGAAUUAUUGGGCGUAAAGAGCUCGUAGGCGGCAUGUCGCGUCUGCUGUGAAAGACCGGGGCUUAACUCCGGUUCUGCAGUGGAUACGGGCAUGCUAGAGGUAGGUAGGGGAAACUGGAAUUCCUGGUGUAGCGGUGAAAUGCGCAGAUAUCAGGAGGAACACCGGUGGCGAAGGCGGGUUUCUGGGCCUUACCUGACGCUGAGGAGCGAAAGCAUGGGGAGCGAACAGGAUUAGAUACCCUGGUAGUCCAUGCCGUAAACGUUGGGCGCUAGGUGUGGGGACUUUCCACGGUUUCCGCGCCAUAGCUAACGCAUUAAGCGCCCCGCCUGGGGAGUACGGCCGCAAGGCUAAAACUCAAAGGAAUUGACGGGGGCCCGCACAAGCGGCGGAGCAUGUUGCUUAAUUCGACGCAACGCGAAGAACCUUACCAAGGUUUGACAUCACCCGUGGACCUGUAGAGAUACAGGGUCAUUUAGUUGGUGGGUGACAGGUGGUGCAUGGCUGUCGUCAGCUCGUGUCGUGAGAUGUUGGGUUAAGUCCCGCAACGAGCGCAACCCUUGUUCCAUGUUGCCAGCACGUAAUGGUGGGGACUCAUGGGAGACUGCCGGGGUCAACUCGGAGGAAGGUGGGGACGACGUCAAGUCAUCAUGCCCCCUUAUGU